rnacentral:rRNA from 1 species
UGGGGAAUUUUGGACAAUGGGCGCAAGCCUGAUCCAGCAAUGCCGCGUGCAGGAUGAAGGCCUUCGGGUUGUAAACUGCUUUUGUACGGAACGAAAAGCCUCUCUCUAAUACAGGGGGUGAUGACGGUACCGUAAGAAUAAGCACCGGCUAACUACGUGCCAGCAGCCGCGGUAAUACGUAGGGUGCAAGCGUUAAUCGGAAUUACUGGGCGUAAAGCGUGCGCAGGCGGUUUUGUAAGACAGUGGUGAAAUCCCCGGGCUCAACCUGGGAACUGCCAUUGUGACUGCAAGGCUGGAGUGCGGCAGAGGGGGAUGGAAUUCCGCGUGUAGCAGUGAAAUGCGUAGAUAUGCGGAGGAACACCGAUGGCGAAGGCAAUCCCCUGGGCCUGCACUGACGCUCAUGCACGAAAGCGUGGGGAGCAAACAGGAUUAGAUACCCUGGUAGUCCACGCCCUAAACGAUGUCAACUGGUUGUUGGGGAUUUAUUUCUUCAGUAACGAAGCUAACGCGU